rnacentral:rRNA from 1 species
GAUGAACGCUGGCGGCGUGCCUAAUACAUGCAAGUCGAACGCUUCACUUCGGUGAAGAGUGGCGAACGGGUGAGUAAUACAUAAGUAACCUGGCAUCUACAGGGGGAUAACUGAUGGAAACGUCAGCUAAGACCGCAUAGGUGUAGAGAUCGCAUGAACUCUAUAUGAAAAGUGCUACGGGACUGGUAGAUGAUGGACUUAUGGCGCAUUAGCUGGUUGGUAGGGUAACGGCCUACCAAGGCGACGAUGCGUAGCCGACCUGAGAGGGUGACCGGCCACACUGGGACUGAGACGCGGCCCAGACUCCUACGGGAGGCAGCAGUAGGGAAUUUUCGGCAAUGGGGGAAACCCUGACCGCGCAACGCCGCGUGAAGGAAGAAGUAAUUCGUUAUGUAAACUUCUGUCAUAGAGGAAGAACGGUGGAUAUAGGGAAUGAUAUCCAAGUGACGGUACUCUAUAAGAAAGCCACGGCUAACUACGUGCCAGCCGCCGCGGUAA